rnacentral:rRNA from 1 species
CAGCCUGCAACCCGGCUGCACGAAGCCGGAAUCGCUAGUAAUCGCGGAUCAGAACGCCGCGGUGAAUACGUUCCCGGGUCUUGUACACACCGCCCGUCACACCAUGGGAGUCGGGAACGCCCGAAGUCAGCGGCCCAACCGCGAGGGGGGAGCUGCCGAAGGCGGGCCCGGUGACUGGGGUGAAGUCGUAACAAGGUAGC